GACGAACGCUGGCGGCGUGCUUAACACAUGCAAGUCGAACGGAAAGUCCCUGCUUUUGUGUGGUGCUAGAGUGGCGAACGGGUGAGUAACACGUGAGUAACCUGCCCUCGACUUCGGGAUACCUUCAGGAAGCUGGGACUAAUACCGGAUAGGUGCUCCUGCUGCAUGAUGGGGGUUACAACGUUUCGACGGUGUGAGAUGGACUCACGGUGCAUCAGCUAGUUGGUAGGGUGGUGGGUUACCAAGGCUGUGACGGGUAGCCGAACGGAGAGGUUGAUGGGCGACAUGGGGACGGGGACACGGACAAAACUCCUACGGGAGGCAGCAGUAGGGAAUCUUAGACAAUGGGCGAAAGCCUGAUGGAGCAGCGCGACGUGGGUGAAGAAGGUCUUCGGAGCGUAAAACCCGGUUGUGAGAGAAGAAAGGGCGUGGGAGUAACUGUUGACGGUUCGACGGUAACUAACAAGAAAGCAACGGCUAACUACGUG
rnacentral:rRNA from 1 species